CUGCUCUGGAGACUGGAUACACCCACAGUGGAGGCUGGGUCCCUCACUUCCCCGCCCCAGCUCCUGCCCCUCCCCUAGGGAGGCCCCAAGGAGGGUGGGUUCUUUGGAGGAAGGGCUGCUAGUUGAUCCACCGAGACUGCCACUGGCCGGUGCCUGCACUGGGAGUCCCUCCUGGGACGCAGGAGACCACAGCGCUAGAAGUGUGAAGAGUUACUCCAGAUGAGCCUGUGGCUUCCAAGUGCCCAGGAAACUGGCUGAACUGCAUUCCAUAAGCCUGGCACAGGGGCAGAGGUCUCUGAGGGAGAUGGUGGGGCUGAACCUGACUUUCCAGCCCUGCUCAUCUCAAGGGAGAAGAUGGGCCGGCCAGGGCUGCCAGGGGAGAAGGUCUCUGACACCCAGCUGUCCAGCGCCCCUGCCACCCCCCACCAUGCCCCUGGUGAUGCCACCCCUGACCCAGAGGACUCGGAUCUGGUGCUGUCUGUGACCCUGGCUGCAGCCCUGACCUUACUCUUCCUCCUGCUCUUGGCGUGGCUGGUGUGGGACAGGCCCAUCCGAGGCUCCUGCUAAGCGGAUUCCUGGGCAGAGAAGAGGGUAUCUCUGGGCUGGGCCUGGCAGAGUCAGGGGGGCACAGGGGGAGCACAGCCAGGGAUGGAGUGGCUGGUCUAAAUCCUGGGGCCAGCCACUCACCCCUCGCCCAUGUCAGCCCUGGUGGGAUCCCAGGUGACCCACAAGGCCUCCUACCCUACCCAACUUGAGGGCAGGAACCCAGAUAAGCCUGAACUUUGCUGUGGAAUGCCAUUGCUGGGCCUCUUGUCUUGGGACCCCACAGAUGGGGGUGCUCAGAGGUGGGGCUGCUGGGCUCGAAUCCACCUCACCCUGGCUUGUGGCAGGGUGGGGGUCUCCAUCACUGUUUGACCAUCUUGGGUGUUGGAAAUAAAUACAGGUGACC